rnacentral:misc_RNA from 1 species
AACUAACGCUAUUCUAGAUACAGUUUCUGUACUUUAUUGGUAUGAGAAACUUCCGGAAUUAAUAUUUCGGCAAAUUUUAACACGGGACCUUCGGGUCCC